ensembl:processed_transcript Gm4651 predicted gene 4651
AGCUGAGGCGUCCAUUGAAGGGAACAAAGGAGCAGGAGCUCUGCUGCCUCUUCUGGGGCCUUCUCACAGACAGAGUGUUACGCCAUGACAUCAUCAACCACCAAUCACCACAGUCAAGGUGGAGCAGGUUUUGUCUGUGAACAAGGCUCUGCAAACGGCAACGGGCAGCGCAGGUAUGAGGACAUGAAUGCUGCAACGAUUUCUUCUCUUCAAGCACCAUGCAACGCAGGUGUGAGUUCAUCAACACGGACACCAGGACUUCUGCCACUCACAGCCUGUUGCUCGGAAAUCAUCAGUGCGCACCUAGGAGACAUCAACUCUCCAGUCCUGGUUCUCUGAGCCACAGCCCUCUGGAGUGAUCUACUGGAAGGCAGUUCUAGCCCAUCCUCCUCCACUCGCCUCUGGGACGGCAUCACUCUUAGAUGAUUUGGUCAGUUUUGUUCUGGUGUCCACCACCUGAGAACAACAGCACCACUUGUGUGCCAGUUCUCAGAGGGGAGAGAGGGGAGGAGUGGGAGGGGGGGGAAGAGGGAGGGAGGAGAGGGAAGGACCUGCCAACACACCGAGGGGAGAUGGGAGAGCUUGGCAAGCUAGGGAUGUUCUCUCUCAGUCACACCUCAGCUCUCCCUAAUCUUCACCCAGCAGACAGACUGCAUUCACUACUACCCAGAAUGCACUUCUCCCCACGACGCAUGACCAUGCAAGUCCAGGACCCUGCUCCUCUGAAGCUGAUGACCCAACCUGGAAACUAUGACACAAUACCAGGAGAGGGGUAAAGCGUGACAAGCGUGACCUCAGAGGCCGUCUCUGUUUUGUUUCCUCCAUAAAGCAGAAGCUAUCACAAAGAUCGACGAGGGUCCAAUUGAAGUACCUGAAAAUACCAGUUAUGGCCAAGCGCAUGAAUGUGUUCAUCAGCUACCACUUACGGAGCACUUCCGUGCCAAACACUGCUGCAUUCUCGACCUGCAUUAGCUCAUUUCUGUCUUCAGAAUAACACUCUAAUUAUAGGGUUACCCUCACUUUGGAAGCCCAGCAAUUAAAUUACAGUUCAGAGAAGACCAUUACCUCCCAGGGUCAUGAUGUCAUGGAGACUUAAGGGCUGGCUGUCCCUUCCAACACAGCCUCACUCAGUAAACUCAAUGCACUGUGACCUCUGUGGUGCUUCUUAUGAGCACACAUGUCAUCAACUGUCAUUCAAUUCCCUCAUGUCAUCAACUGUCAUUCAAUUCCCUCCACGCUUCUUUAGAUCUUUUUAAAAAAAUAAACAGUGAUUGCUAAUCUGC